rnacentral:rRNA from 1 species
AUUGAACGCUGGCGGCAGGCCUAACACAUGCAAGUCGAGCGGAUGAAGGGAGCUUGCUCCUGGAUUCAGCGGCGGACGGGUGAGUAAUGCCUAGGAAUCUGCCUGGUAGUGGGGGAUAACGUCCGGAAACGGGCGCUAAUACCGCAUACGUCCUGAGGGAGAAAGUGGGGGAUCUUCGGACCUCACGCUAUCAGAUGAGCCUAGGUCGGAUUAGCUAGUUGGUGGGGUAAAGGCCUACCAAGGCGACGAUCCGUAACUGGUCUGAGAGGAUGAUCAGUCACACUGUAACUGAGACACGGUCCAGACUCCUACGGGAGGCAGCAGUGGGGAAUAUUGGACAAUGGGCGAAAGCCUGAUCCAGCCAUGCCGCGUGUGUGAAGAAGGUCUUCGGAUUGUAAAGCACUUUAAGUUGGGAGGAAGGGCAGUAAGUUAAUACCUUGCUGUUUCGACGUUACCAACAGAAUAAGCACCGGCUAACUUCGUG